rnacentral:lncRNA from 1 species
CACAGGACUUAAUGGACCUAAAUUUCUGGAAGAAACAGGUAGAUAUUAGGAAAACGUUUUCCAACACAAAAAUACAGUAGAUGAGACUUUCUGGUCAGGAUCUGAGUCUCCGUGGCUGGUCUUUAAUAGCAGGUCAGGCAAAUAUUGAUCAGUUAUGACCCUGGCAAAACCACCGUGAUGCCAGAGCUGGCUGUGUGACUGCUGAAGGCAGCCUCGUCAGGGCCCUGGGAAGUGUGAGGGGGCUGCACGUGGGGCACCAACCCCAGGCAGCGCUACAGGCUUGGGGCAGAGUGGCUGGAAAGCUGUGCAGAGGAAAAGGAUCUGAGGGUGCUGACUGAUGCUCGCCUGAACACGAGCCAGCAGCGUGCCCAGGUGGCCAAGAAGGCCAGCGGCAUCCUGGCUUGUGUCAGGAAUGGUGCAGCCAGCAGGAGCAGGGAGGUGAUCGUCCCCCUGUGCUCUGCUCUGGUGAGGCCGCACCUCGAGCACUGUGUUCAGCUUUGGGCCCCUCACUACCAGAAGGACAUCAAGGCCCUGGAGUGUGUCCAGAGCAGGGCUAUGAAGCUGGAGGUGUUUAAAAGAUAUUGAAAUCAUGUCACUAAGCUCUGCAUCUAGGGGAGGGCUGGUUAGUGUUAGGUCAGAGGUUGGACUAGGUGAUCUGGGAGGUCUCUUCCAACCUAAAUGAUUCGGUGGAAGAUUAAGCGAUAUGAUUUUAUAGGCUAAAGAACCAUUGAAAAGAGAAAGAGGUGGGUAAGCUUUUCAAAUCAAUGCUGAACAAUUAAAGCGUUCUGAUUAUGGAUGGGUUUGCAUUGACCACUUGUCCCUUUUAUGUAUAUGUUCUCAUAGGGUUUUAGAAGCAUCAUCAUGUUUUGUGGUUUUUUUUUUUUUCCCCUCUUAGGAUCCCCUUCUCAGCCUAGGCAGAGAGUGCACUUGCCGAACUGGUGUUUGUUCACUGUUGGUUGUGCUUCUCAGAAUCAGUCCCUGUACGUUUUCUACUGCACACUGUCUGUAUCUUGCUCUGAAGAGCUUGAUCCUGAAGCCUGGAUGCAGCAGGCUCUGGCACAUUGGGUGGAUCUCAGGUUGGAUGUAACACAACUCAUUGUAGAUUUCAGAUUCAUUUCAGUUCUUUCAACUGCCCUGAUAAGAAAUGCUGAAACUGUAUAA